UACGAGGGGUGCUAGCGUUGUCCGGAAUUAUUGGGCGUAAAGAGUAUGUAGGCGGCUAUUUAAGUCAGGCGUGCAAGCCCACGGCUCAACCGUGGAAUUGCGUUUGAAACUAUUUAGCUUGAGUACAGGAGAGGAAGGCGGAAUUCCCAGUGUAGCGGUGAAAUGCAUUGAUAUUGGGAAGAACACCGGUGGCGGAGGCGGCCUUCUGGUCUGAUACUGACGCUGAGAUACGAAAGCCAGGGGAGCGAACGGG
rnacentral:rRNA from 1 species